GUACUUCCCCUUAACCCUGCGGUCUGUCUACCGGCUGCCUGCUGGGAGCCAGGCAGUUCCACAGUGGAACAAGCUUAACUUCCCUCAGCUGAAAGGAAUGCUCACCCCUCUGGCCAGCCUGCUGUCAGUGUGUACACUUGAAGACUCAGGGCCUCUCCUUGCUCAGCGCCACCUGUUCUUACACCGGUCUCUGACUUCUCAAAACUGGGUGCCGGAGAACGGGGGCUGGAGACGGACAUCUAUCCUGUAGGCACAGUCCUGAGACACAACUGGCUCCCAUGGAAACCAGGGGGCCCUGAGGGACUCUCUCUGGUGGGGGUUUGAUGAGUUGCUUCUUAGAACCUUUCUCUACGGAUGUGUAGCAGUUACUUUAGUUGUUGCUUAUCGCUGUGACAAAAGACCUGAUAGAAGAACUUAAGGAAGGGACAUCUUGAAUGAGACCCACGGAGGCGGUGAUUGAUGCAAAAGCAAGAGGAGUUUAAUCAUUUCGACAUGUUGGGACCACCCACUUCAAGGGGAGAUGACCCUGAACAGACUCUAACAGAACUAAGAAUACAGACACCUUGUUUGACACAGCCAUCCCCUGACACAUCCAAUAUGUCUCUGAGUCACCAGCCCAGCCUUUUGACAGUCUCAAAGAAAGACCAACCAAGAAAGUCCUUCAAUAGAAAAGACGCGGAUACACAUUUGAGCAUGGACUUUCAUCUGUUCAGUGCGCAGACCACCGAUUGGUAUUUCAUUACUGGUAACCCGAGCAAGCAGGCAAACAGGCCUUUCCAAUCUCCAAACACAACUUUUAGUUUAGAAAAUUCCAAAUAAAGCAGAAUAAUCAA